rnacentral:lncRNA from 1 species
AGAGAUGCUGUAAUGGUAAGACUUUGGAUCCUUCCUGAGGACGUGGAGAAAACUUGCUGCUGAGAAGGACAUUUUGAAGGUUUUGUUGGCUGAAAAAGCUGUUUCUGGAAUCACCCCUAGAUCUUUCUUGAAGACUUGAAUUAGAUUACAGCGAUGGGGACACAGAAGGUCACCCCAGCUCUGAUAUUUGCCAUCACAGUUGCUACAAUCGGCUCUUUCCAAUUUGGCUACAACACUGGGGUCAUCAAUGCUCCUGAGAAGUCUGUUCUUCCACCAACCCUUUUAUUUUGCAGAUCAUAAAGGAAUUUAUCAAUAAAACUUUGACGGACAAGGGAAAUGCCCCACCCUCUGAGGUGCUGCUCACGUCUCUCUGGUCCUUGUCUGUGGCCAUAUUUUCCGUCGGGGGUAUGAUCGGCUCCUUUUCCGUCGGACUCUUCGUCAACCGCUUUGGCAGGCGCAAUUCAAUGCUGAUUGUCAACCUGUUGGCUGUCACUGGUGGCUGCUUUAUGGGACUGUGUAAAGUAGCUAAGUCGGUUGAAAUGCUGAUCCUGGGUCGCUUGGUUAUUGGCCUCUUCUGCGGACUCUGCAC